GCUUGUCUCAAAGAUUAAGCCAUGCAUGUCUAAGUAUAAGCAUUAUACAGUGAAACUGCGAAUGGCUCAUUAUAUCAGUUAUAGUUUAUUUGAUAGUCCCUACUAUUUGGAUAACCGUAGUAAUUCUAGAGCUAAUACAUGCGUCAAGCCUCGACUCACGGAGAGGUGUAUUUAUUAGAUGGAAACCAAUGCGGGGUAACCCGGAAUAUGGUGAUUCAUAAUAACUUUCGGAUCGAUUUAUCGAUGCAUCAUUCAAGUUUCUGCCCUAUCAGCUUUGGAUGGUAGGGUAUUGGCCUACCAUGGCUUUAACGGGUAACGGAGAAUUAGGGUUCGAUUUCGGAGAGGGAGCCUGAGAAACGGCUACCACAUCCAAGGAAGGCAGCAGG
rnacentral:rRNA from 1 species